AGCAGAUUAAAAAAAGGACUUAAGUCCAUCCGCAAAAAAAUAUUAAAUAAAUGUUAAAGCUCUUCAAUUUAUAAUUGAAACAGUUACCACUUGUGGUACUGUUUUUUGAAGUCUGUAUUUUAACAUGGCAGUGGUUGUGAAGAGGAAGGGAGAAAGCACACAGUAUUUCAACUGAAGCCGCAAAGACUACUCCAAGUAUUUUCAGGUGAUUUCUAAACGAGGGCAAGAAGAAGGUGAGGAAAACACAGGAGAAAGAAUUGCCCACCCUAUUAUCCAGCACACCUUGCUCACAAGCUAAUUCUUGUUUGUCUGAAGGACACUUGAGGCAGACACUUCCAGACAACCUCGUACUAAGAAAAAGUUCCACCAGGCUGUUUUGCUGACAGCUUUAAAAAUAAUUUAAUUCACUGCUUUAUAGGCAACCAAAGUAAUGAACUGUAAUUCCUCUUGUCCAGUGCAAUCCAACUAUUUCAGUGGCAGGAGUCCCAACAACCUCAUAGUGGUACUUCGGAAUCUUUGACUAAGAAAUACAGAUUGCCUCCAUGCCUGUGAGACCAUCCAUCAGAAAGGACAGCCAUAAAUCACAGACCUUGACAUUUAACCACAAGUUUCUUCUCCAGGGGAGAUAAGAAUAUGCCUCAUUUAAUAAACGAGUUCUUCCCAGGUACAAGAUUUUCUUCUCAAACUUGAAGUAUCUGACAAUUGUGAUAUCACCCCCAGCCAUCUCCAGGAAAAGGCUAAGCAGACCCAUCACUCUGAAGGACCACAGGUAUACCCCAUAAGACACACAUCUGUAGACACAUCCCUCAUCUCCAUAACUGCCACGCACUGCACCAUGUGGUAUAUUUACAGGUUAUAGUUAGAAAGAGUAACAGGUCACACACCCAUAGCAAUAGAUAAAGAUGAGACCACUCACCAGUGGUACCAAGCAGGCCCAAAAGGAGAGGUCUGCCACCCGCAAGAGGCCCUCACGGCGCACAUCCCACCACUGAGACCAUCCCCAUCCCCAGUCCCACCUGCAGCAACACCCAGCCUCCCCACCUGCACUGGUACAGUGUCACUGCAGCAACCACGAACAAUUGAAAACAAGCAACAGGGAAAAUACUUGGGAAGUUUUGAAUGUUUUUUCCACUGUCUUAAUGAUUAAACAUUCAGCAACAGAAAACACUUGGCAGCUUACUGAAAGCCUGUUGAUGGCACAGCAGCCGAUAACAAGCAUCCUACUUGAUGAGAGAUAAUCCUUUUUCCAUUAAAUCAAGAAAGCAUUAAAAUGGAGACAGUGGCUAACUCCAUUUAGAACAAAACAAACCCUCCAAAUUCCCAAAGAUCUGAGGGAACAAGAGGGAACACCCCAGUACUUUCAGAAUUUUUAGAUUUAUUUAGGAGAUUCUUCUCACUGACUUGAAAGUGCCAAUUUGUGCUGACCUUCUGGUUGGGCUCUUCCUAGGUGACAGAGCACUGCAUUUUCAUCUGUUCAAUUUACCUUUGAACCACCUGCUGAUAGCUUUUCAAACAUACAAUCCAGCAUUCUACCUGGACUGCUUCAGAGGCAAGCUAGGAAACUACUUUCACCUCCUCAUCUUCACAGCUUAAAAACAAGAAAAAAAAAAAAAAAAAAAAAA
rnacentral:lncRNA from 1 species